rnacentral:rRNA from 2 species
GAAUGCUGACAUAAGUAACGAUAAAGCGGGUGAAAAGCCCGCUCGCCGGAAGACCAAGGGUUCCUGUCCAACGUUAAUCGGGGCAGGGUGAGUCGACCCCUAAGGCGAGGCCGAAAGGCGUAGUCGAUGGGAAACGGGUUAAUAUUCCCGUACUUGGUGUUACUGCGAAGGGGGGACGGAGAAGGCUAUGUUGGCCGGGCGACGGUUGUCCCGGUUUAAGCGUGUAGGUGUGUGUUCCAGGUAAAUCCGGUUCACUUUAACACUGAGGCGUGACGACGAGGCACUACGGUGCU